GGAGGGAUUCAGGAGCACAUAGAGAGGAAAGAGGGCAGGGAAUGCCUGGGCCACACAAACAUAAGACGCCAGUGUCCUGUGCGGGAGGGUGGUGGAGGCUGUCAGAGAGGGGCUGGCUCCCAUUCACACCCAGUCCUUGUGGCUCCCAGCUAGGCAGGAAGACAUUUUCUCACCUGUAUGGUAGUGUGUUAUCUGAUCUUCCCUCCUUAGCAGGUGUGUGGUGCAGUUCUCCAAGACUAAGCUUAUGGGAUAAGAGGAGACCCAGAGUAUCCACGUGUUAUCCUACCUGUCUAUCCCUCAGCAGGGACUGCUGGCUAACUCCGUGACAAAGAUGCAGCAAGGACAGUGGCUGCAGCCACUGUCCCCUGGGAAGUGUUCUGGAUUGGAUUUCAGAGCCCUUGUCAGUCUGAAGAGCACAACAACACCCUGCUCUGAGGUCUGACUACAUCUAUGCCCGCUGGCCCGACUGCACCCAUCGACUUCCUGUCUCUCAGCUCCUUCCCAUUGUCAGCAAUUAGCUUAUUUCAAGUCCACAACAGAAAGGCCAAUAGGUGAAGGGAGGGCAACCUAAGCAUCUUUCUUUGUACCAUUGCAGAGAGGAACCUGAGGACAAAGGCUUAAAACAGGUAUCCAUCCAUGCGGGCUCCCAGGGCCCAAGGAAGGAUAAGAGGUCUUUCUCACUCUGUAGCACAAAGUAACUGUGAACUCAAGGCAAUUCUUCUGCCUCAGCUCCCUCAUACUGGAUGACAGCACACCUAGCUCCAGCCUGGUUUCAAACUCACCAUCCUCUUGGCCGCCUUGGCUUUGCCAAGUUCAGGAACUUCAGGCACGUGCCUCCACCCCUGGCCAGAAGCAGUUUUCUUACUAAUAGUUUUGAUCCGAGGGCUAGGUGAUCCAAGGGUCAAAGGUCACUCCUAGAAGUCACAGUUAAAACAGGGACAUCUAGGAGAGGAACGGUUGACUCGGGAACCCAGGGGUUGUCGCCAAAGCUGCAUUGAACUCCGAGGUGCACUUAGGGUUUGAAACGGCCCCAGAGAUUGAAGAGAACAAUGUCAAAGAGAAGAGAUGAACAGGAGACGUGAGGAUGGAAGGGUAGGAGACAAAGCCUCAUUAACAUGAUGCAUUGAAGCAGGAAGCAAAGAGACGGUUAAAUGACCUGAGAGGCGAUGUUUGCAGCCAAACAGGGUGGCGUUGCUACCCCAGCAGUGAGGCUUGGAGAGGCCAGGAGCAGCAUAUGGGGACCUGGCUGAAUGUCAGUAGAGAAGGGGACCUGACAGCUGCUGUUGAGCAAUGGGGAGUGCUGAUGCACCUACCCUGAGGCCCAGCAUCGUCCUUCCGAGGUCCAUAGGGAAAGGAGGUCCUCAGAGCUCACCUUCCGGAACAAGGAGGGCGACUGCUGACUGAGGCUAGACCCUAUGCUAAGUUACUGCAUAUUGUAUAACACAGUGGGUUUGCGGGGGGGGGGGGGGGGAGGGGGCUUGCCCUAGGAGACUCCAUCUUACAAAGAGCUCUGGGGAUGGAGAUGGCUCAGCGGUUAAGAGCACUGACUGCUCUUCCAAAGGUCCUGAGUUCAAAUCCCAGCAACCACAUGGUGGCUCACAACCAGAUCUAACGCCCUCUUCUACAGCGACUGAAGAUAGCUACAGUGUAUUUACAUAUAAUAAAAUAAAUAAGUCUGUAAAAAAAAAAA